GCGCACGCUGGCGGCAGGCCUAACACAUGCCAGUCGAACGGAUCCUUCGGGAUUAGUGGCGGACGGGUGAGUAACACGUGGGAACGUGCCCUUUGGUUCGGAACAACUCAGGGAAACUUGAGCUAAUACCGGAUGUGCCCUUCGGGGGAAAGAUUUAUCGCCAUUGGAGCGGCCCGCGUCUGAUUAGCUAGUUGGUGAGGUAACGGCCCACCAAGGCAACGAUCAGUAGCUGGUCUGAGAGGAUGAUCAGCCACACUGGGACUGAGACACGGCCCAGACUCCUACGGGAGGCAGCAGUGGGGAAUCUUGCGCAAUGGGCGAAAGCCUGACGCAGCCAUGCCGCGUGAAUGAUGAAGGUCCUAGGAUUGUAAAAUUCUUUCAGCGGGGACGAUAAUGACGGUACCCGCAGAAGAAGCUCCGGCUAACUUCGUG
rnacentral:rRNA from 1 species